GUACAGAGGUCUCAAGCGUUGUUCGGAUUCAUUGGGCGUAAAGGGUGUGUAGGUGGCGCGCUAAGUCGGGUGUGAAAUUUCGGAGCUUAACUCCGAAACUGCAUUCGAUACUGCGUGCUUGAGGACUGGAGAGGAGACUGGAAUUCAUGGUGUAGCAGUGAAAUGCGUAGAGAUCAUGAGGAAGACCAGUGGCGAAGGCGGGUCUCUGGACAGUUCCUGACACUGAGACACGAAGGCCAGGGGAGCAAACGGG
rnacentral:rRNA from 1 species